GCCGUCAUCUCCUUCCUCUCGCCUUCCCUAUAAAUAGUCAUUGCUCCGUCCUUCAUACACUUCGCUCAAAAGCAGAAAUCAACCUGCAGUUUCGGCGGCCGCAAAAAUCUUCGGCUUUGAGAUUACGGUGAUACUUAUUCAUUGGAAGGUCAAGUGCUGAUCUGAAAAAGACACAUCAGCACAACACAAUAUCAUAAGCUAAAGAAACCAUCUGCCACUUGUAAUCCCUCCUUGAAAGCAAUCAAUUUCAAGAAGAUACACUUGGUGGUGUUCAUUUUAGUGUUACUUUUUUGCUACUUGGUUCUUUUAUCUUAUCAUUGUGACUUUUUCCUGGAUUUUGUACAGAUAGGGUGGGUUUAAAUCUUGUUGUGGUGCUUAGGAGAUUGAUUACAUUUUAAUGAGUAACUGUGAGAUGAAUUAAUCAUAGUUCAUAUCCUAGGCCUUUUUGGAAGAGCACCUAAGUUAAUUCUGAUCCCUGCCAUUUUCCUUACUAAUAUGUUUUGAACAAUUUAUUUCAUUUUGUUUACUUUAUAUUAAAUAUUUAUGCAUUUUUUGAUGGACUUCAAAUAAUUUUUUUUUGGAAAUGGUUGUGUGCUUAAUUGCUCAUGAAUGAUCAAAUGUUGAUACAAAAUAGGCACACAUUAACUCAUAAACCCCACAACAACUUGCUAGCCCUUCAAGAAAGCAAUAAAUUUUGAAAGUGCACUGGUGGUAGUUAUUUAAAAUGGACUAAGCUUAGCUCGUAUAUCCAUAGGUUAUUUGCAACAUUGCUAAGUUGAUUUUGAUCCCUGCAAUUUUUUUCUUCUUUUUCCUCCUAGUGUCACUUAUCAUAUCUCUUGGUCGUGUUUUUUAUGCAAAAAAAGUUUCUAAUGGUUCUUAAUUUUGUUGGAUAAUUAAAAAGGAAUGUGCUUAUGGACGGUCAAGUGUUGAUUUGAAACAGGAUCAUCAGCACACAACAAUAGCAUAAGCUAAAGAAACCAUUGCCUCUCGCUAUCCCUCUUUGAAAGCAAUCAAUUUCAUGGAGGGUACACUAGAUGGCAUUCAUUUUUAUUUUUCAUCUCCCUCUUUUAAAUAUCUCUGGACAACCUAUAUUUCUUGGAUUUUGUAUGUAUCAAGUUUCUAGUCAUAUAUUAUUGAGCAGUAUUAAUCAUACCACUUCAAUUGAUCUUGUUCAAUGGCAAUGGCUUGGCAUAUAAUUUUAUGCAAGUUCUAGUAUCAUAUAUUGAUGAUUACUAAUAUACCGAAUUUGGUCACAACAAUUUUUUUCUGUCUUCCACAAUCUGACAGCAUGUAUUAUUUCGUGUCUUGGUAUUUGUUGCUUGUUAUCUCCGGCUAGUGACUAGUAUUUUUUUUUUUUUUGCAUGUGGAGCCUUGGCACAAUGAUAAAAUUAUUGUCAUGUGACAAAAAGGUCACGGGUUCGAAUUAUGAAAAUAGUCUCUUAUAAAAAACAGGAUAAGGCUGCGUACAAAUGGAUCCUUCCUUGGGAUUUUGCAUGGAGGGAGUUUCGUGCACAGGGUUAUUUUUUUUAAAAGGAGAGCUUUGGUGCAACGGUAAAGUUGUUGUCAUGCGACCAGAAGGUCACGGGUUCGAAUCCUGAAAAUAAUCUCAUGUAAAAAACUCAAGAACCCUGCAAGAAAUAGCUAUGGAAUCAAAAUACAAAGGGGAUUGGGCACUUAUCUUCUAAAUUCUGCAUCCUGAAGUGCUCCAGAACGUAGCUCUUUUGAGAUCUGAAAGAAACCUUUUGAUGUUUCAAGGCAGCUUCGACUAUUUCUUUCUUCAAUAAUCGAGGGAUAACUGUUCGUAAGAUUAAAGCGUUUUGUUCAGAGAAUUUGAGUAUGUUGUUUAAAUUGUAUGAAUUAUAACACAAUAAAGUUGCAGAAAUUUGAUACAAUAUUAAUGUCAAACUGUAUGUUCUCCAGAA